UUUUGCCUGAUCCCCUCAGCGCACUGCUGGCUACCCCGCCCCUACUUUGGAUGACCCCGCCUACUCUGCGGGAGUCUGAGUCUAGUAGGGAUUAACCGAGCUGAGGGUCUCCCUUUUAACUCAGCACUGUGGUAGCCAUAGGGACCGGCUUUGGGGCUUAUCAGAAUGAGUUCAAAUCCUAGUUCCACUGCUUAUCGAGUGAGUCAACCAAGGAACCUGACUACACACAGUUGACUCAUCGGAGAUAAUAUUGAUAGAAUGAAACAAUAUAGACUCCAGGUUUAGUUCUGGAUCAUAGCAAACAAUAAAUAGCAGUAGUUGUACAGACAGACAUCUUUUACCGCACUUCACUACAAGACAGCCCACUGUGUCCAGAACAUUGCAUUCCUUAACCUGGAUAGCUCUGGAGUACUAUCCCAAAGACCAAAUUCUAGUCUGGGAAAACAAACUGAUCUACUUACUGGUUCUUUGACCUGUGCAUUGCCCAAGAUCUUCCCUGAGUUGGGGAUACUCGAUCCCUCACAUUGUUUUUCUCUCUGUCCGAAUUCUGAGGAUCUUUGUCUUUCUCCUCAGGCAUAUGGCUGAUUUGAUUAUGAUUUUCUUUAGGCAGUAUCAUCCAAGACUAAGCCAAGUUUUUGUAGUACCACCAUAAUCAAACAGGACUACGGCUUCCAUUUUUAACAGAGCCUUGCAUUUGUGCAGUAAAGUUUUUGGUGCACACUGAGUAUGGUGGCUUGCCGGAAGUCCUAGCUUUUGGAGAUGCUAGGACUAAGGCAAGAGGAUUACUUGAGCUCAGAACUUGAAGUUAACCUAAGCAACAUAAUGAAAGAAAAGGAGAAGAGGAAGUUAAGGAAGGAGAGGGAAAAAACAAAGAAAAGAGGAAGGAGAAGAAAAAUGAGAGGAAAAAAAAAGUUCUUGGCAGACAUACUAUUGACUCAUUAAACUUGCAGUCAACCUGAACCGCAGGGUGUUUUUAAAAACACACGGGCUCUGCUAACAACUUUUACCUACCCCCACCCCCACCCCAAGAGCCUUUCACCCUGGCGAGGUCAGCAGAGGCUAGGUCCCCUAUUAGGCUUUUCAAAAUGGGAAAACAGUACAUGAAGCAGUUUGUGGUCAGCUCAACAUCACCUUUAAGCCAAGUAUGUUUCUAUAAUGCCUGGGUGUGUAGGCCUAGAGUGCUUAAAGCUUACCUUGAACCCCUCUCUGGAGGCAGAGGCAGGUGGAUCUCUGAAUUCAAGGCCAGCCUGGUAUACAGAGCAAGUUCUAGGCCAGCCAGGCUUACAGAGUAAGACCCUGUCUCAAAAUAAGUAAAUAAAUGCCAAGAUCUGUGACUACACAGACUGGCACGGGGCUGUCUACACAUGUUGUGUGAUCACAACAGGAAAAAAGGCAAGUGUAAAGAGAGACUACAGAGAAGUAUGUAACCGCCAGGUAUGUUAAUAAUGGUUUGCUUUCAGUGGGUAUUUUUUAUUUUUAUUUUUAUUGUUCCUUUUUCCGUUUGUUUUAAUCUCUGUAGAACAUGCUAGUUUCAAACUCAUGGGAAUCCUCCUGCCUCAGAUACAAUUAAAAGCAUGAGUCACUGUGCCUAGCUUUUUUUUUUUUUUUUUUUUUUUUCUUUUCUUUUUUUUUGGAGCUGGGGGCCGAACCCAGGGCCUGCGCUUGCUAGGCAAGCGCUCUACCGCUGAGCUAAAUCCCCAACCCUGUGCCUAGCUUUUCUUUAUAUUUCUUCACAAAUUUUCCUACAUUGUGCUACUUUUAUAAUUGAGAAAUUUAAGAGGUUGGGGCGCUGGCCCAAGAAGGAAUGGGCUUGCCCUAAAGCAUCUGGAUCUGAGUUCCACCCUCCAGCAUCCACCUGAGGUCAGCAUGGUUCUGUGAGCCUAGACCAAGAGGUGAAUGCAUAAGACUCCCUGGCUCCUGCCAGCCAGGCUAACCAAUCAGUUAGCCCCAUUCAGGGAAAGACCCUAACGCAAAAUAUUUGGUAGAAGGGGCUAAACAGAUGAUGGCUCAGCAGUUAAGAGCAUUGACUGAUCUUCCAGUUACUGACUUUACGUCCAGUUUCAGGGGAUGUGACCCUCCCUUCUGGCCUCUACUGUCCUUGAAUCCAUGAUACAAACUUCAAGUGUCAUAUAUACAGGCAAAACACACACACAUUUAAGAAAAAAAAAUUUUUUUUAGUUGAUGGAGGGUCUGGAGAGAUGGCUCAGCAGUUAAGAGCACUUGCUGGUCUUCUAGUGGACAAAGAUUCAGUUCCCAGCACCCACAUGGCAACUCACAGAUGUCUGUAACUCUAGUUCCAGGGACUCUGACAUUCUUCUGGCCCCACUGGGCACCCAACAUACACACACACACACACACACACACACACACACACACACACACACGCACACACAGAUUUGCAAUACCCACACACUUACAUGGGCACAGACAGGUGUGCAUACUCACAUUUACACAGGUCUGCACACCUAUACAUUUAUAUGCACACAAGGUUACAUACACUUAAACACACAUAUUUAUAUACAUGUAUGUUCUUUACAUAACCACUUAAAUACUUUGUGUAAGUACUAGAAAAUAUAAAGUGUAGUAUGUGUAUACGCACACACACACACACACAUAUAUAUAUAUACUCUUUUUGAGACAGGGUCUCUCUGUGUAACCCUGACUAUCCUAGAACUCACUCUGUAGACCAGGCUAGUCUCAAAUUCAGAGAUUCACCUGCCUCUGCCUCCCGAGUGCUUAAAGGCCACCACCCAACUAAAAUAUAUUUUAUAUUAAAAGUAUAUGAAAUGUAGUUCCCAGAAAGAUGGCUCACUGGUUAAGAGCACGGGAUGCUCUUCCAGAGGACCCAGGUUUGAAUCCCAGCACCAACAUGACUGGUCACAAUCAUCUCAGUUCCAGGAAAUCCAAUGUCCUCUUUUCCUAGGACACCAAGCACACAUGUAGUGCACAGAUCUAAAUACAGGCAAAAUAUCCAUACACAAAAUGAUCUUGAUCUAUAUGUACUAACAUAAAUAAUAUAUAUGUACACUACACACACAUAUACGUCAGCACAGACACACACAUACAGACACACACAGAGAUAUAUAGUCACACACAGACACUCACACACACACAUACACAGACACACACACAUACACAGACACACACACACACACAUACAUAAACACACACAUACACACGUCUUUUGAGAGAGAAUGUCACAUAACCCAGACUGGCCUUAAAUUCCGAUGUAGUAAACCUUGAACUUCUGCCAAGCUAAGCUGAUGCUAUCAGAGGAGUAGUGAGGCCAAGGACUCACCAGGGGCUCAUUUACUAUCUCUCAUCUGACUUAGUUGAAGAAUUUAGGCACUGUUUCGUCUAAAAAGCCAUUCCACUGUGGUCUUAGAUGUCCUAGCACCAAACUUCCUUCUGAAAUACUCGCAUGGCAGUCCUAUCUCGCCUUCCUUCUUAGUCGGGGUUUCAUUGCUGUGAACAGUCACCAAUGACCAAGGCAACUCUUAUAAAGGACAACAUUUAAUUGGAGCUGGCUUACAGUUCAGAGGUUCAGUCCAUAAUCACCAUGGCGGAAAGCAUGGUGGUUUGCAGGCAGACAGGGUAAUGGAGAAAGAGCCAAGAAUUCUACAGCUAGAUCCACAGGCAGCGAGCAGGAAGAAAAAGGGGCAUUGGGCCUGGCCUGAGCAUUUGGAACUCCAAAGACUACUCCCUGUGACACACUUCCACCAGUAAGGCUGUACCUACUCUAACAAGGUCACACCUCCCAAACCUUCCCAAGUAAUGCCACUCCCUAGGAGUCUAUGGGACCAUUUUCAUUCAAACCAUCACUGCAUCUAAUCAAUACUUCUUUAAUACAACGUUCUAUAAGCCUUGGUUCUUCCAAACUGUGAGCAGAUUCACAGCUCAGUUGGCAAUCUUUCUGGUUCUUGGAAGAAACUUUCUUCACAAAUGUGUGUGGUGUACUGACCUUGUGCCUCACUUGACUGACACCGACGUGAGAGUCUGCCUUCAUGGAAUUUGCUGACAAUCUGGAAGAUGCAGCUCUGUUGGUAGAGUACUUGGCCAGCACGCAUGAACCCUGGCAUCGUAUACGACUGGGAAGAACCAGCGUGCUGCCAAGUCUGACAACCUGAGUUCAAUUCCUGGGACUCAAACGGUGGAAGGGGAGAACCAAUUCCACAAAGUUGUCAUUACACCUCCACGUGCAUGCAUGCAGAUGAUUAACUGCUGAGUGUGAUCCCAAGGCUCCGGAGGGAGGCCAGGAGUUCGAAGCCCUGGUCCACUACAAAUUGAAUGUGUGCGAUUCAAUCAUCUCUGAUACAACACAACAAAAGUGGCAAAAAAAAAAAAAAAAAAAAGUCCGGAAGAAGCUAAACGGAUGCCCCAUUGAUGACGGCACCCAGCUUUCAGUACCAUGGAGAAGAACACACAGAAUGAAACAAGAAUGGGUAGGACUGAGACCCACAGUUUAAAUGUUACUCACCAGACAAUUAUCUCAGAGUUAUGAAAAGUAAUUCAUUGGAAUCAGGUAAAAACCCAUUGGAAACGUCUACUGGAGAUUCACACCGUAAGAGACAAUCUACAACUGCUAGCAAGAUCAUUUUUUAGACCAGAAGAGGGCAUCAGAUCCCAUUACAGAUGGUUGUGAACCACCACGUGGUUGCUGGGAACUGAACUCUGGACCCUGGAAGAGCAGUCAGUUCUCUUAACUACUGAGCCAUCUCUCCAGGCCGCCCACACACCCUUUCUAGCCUUCACUAAAUACCCUUUUAUGUGAGUGUCCUGGGUUAGCCUUAUUGUCCUGGGUUUUAAUUAACAACACGGCAUAGCUACUAUCAUAUAAAGUCUUAGCUGGGGAUAGCAUUGUAGGAUGAUGUCAUUAUGCAGCAAGGCAGGUCCAGAAUAAGGUGAAGCCUAUCAUUGGAUGAGAAUGGGAAGGGUAGGCAGGGAAAACUCUAGGAAGGAGGGAGGAGGGGGAGCAAAGGAGGAAGAUGGAGACAGAGGAGAAGGAUUCCGAUCCAGGUAGGUGGUCUACGUCAAUUUUACCUUGUCUACAUGGGCGGUUUCUAUCUUUAUUAAUUGGCAGUGAAUUUAUUCUGUGGAUGUGUUGUAGAUUGAGAAUUUAACAUACAAAUCUAAUUGUUAAACUACAGGUUUCUAGAGCUUUGAUUUUACUGGGCUACAGGGGCUGUGAGGAAAGUUCCCAGCAGGCAGAGAGACAACAUGUCUCAGUUCUGGAAGCUGUGCUUGGCUAUAGAAUGCCUGGGGCUAGCUUGGUGUGGUGCCAUGCUAGAACAGCCCACAGAACGUGGUGUGUGUGUGUGUGUGUGUGUGUGUGUGUGUGUGUGUGUGUGUGUGGCAUGGUAACAACCAGUCAAGGGGGCAAUGUGUGAAAGUGACUGGCAGAGAAACAGCCAGAGCAUACAGCUCCUGCAGAUCCACAGGGAGUGAGAACGCACGUUUUUUAUUUUUACUGCAACAUGGCAAUGCAAGCCUUUAAUGUGUGUGUGUGUGUGUGUGUGUGUGUGUGUGUGUGUGUGUGCGCGCGUGUGUGCAUGUUUCUAGGUAUUGAACCUGGGGUUUUGUGUAUGUUAGGCAAGGGCACUGAACCACGUUACUAGGUCAAUGUUCAACGCUCAACGUGUUGCUAGAUUCUGAGGCCGGUUAUAAACAGUUGUAAGCUGCCUGUGGGUGCUGGAAACUGGACUCAGGUCCUAUGGAAGAGCAGUGAGUGGUCCUAACUGCUAAGUACUCUCUGCAGCCCAGCUUUCAUUCUUAUGUUCCUGCUUCUAUCCUGUGAUGCUAUCAGCUUGCUCAGAAAUCUGAGAGAACGGUACAAUUUGUUUUUUAGUAAGAACUGACAUAUCACCAGCCCUCCUCCCUAAGUGUCCAUUUAAUGUUGGUUUUAAUUGUCAACUUAGUAUAGCAUCGUGCCACAUAAAAAGGGCAUGAUGGUACACAUCUUCAAUCUCAGCACUUGGGAGGAAGAGGCAGGUGGACCUCUGUGAGAUGAGGCAAGCCUGGUCUACAGAGAGAAUUCCAGGACAGAGUUAUGCAGAGAGAUCUUGUCUCAAAAAAAAAAGGGGGGGGGGGGUAAGGUGAGGUGGGAGGUGGUCCUCAAUUGAGGGACUGCCUGGAUCGGAAUGAUCUGUGGGGAGCUAUCUUCAUUGUUAAUUGAUGUGGGAGGUCCCAGCCUGUUGUGGACGCCACCAUCCCCCUGGGAAGGCAGUCGGUUCAGUAUAAAAAAGCUAGCUAAGCAUGACCCUCUGAGGAAGCUGGCCAGCAGUCUUUAUGGCUUCUGCUUUAAGUUCCUGCUUGAGUUUCUAGUUGGGGGAUGGUUUUGUGCACUGUGUAUUCAGAUGCUGAUUGCCGUGCCCAGAGAUCUGGUUGCAGUUCAUAUUGUCAAAAAUCUCCUGUCUCGGUGUUGUGUAAAAAUUGUUUUUCAUCACCUCUGAUUGGUUAAUAAAAAGUUGAUCAGCUGGGCAGGAGAGGAGGGGGCAGGACUUCUGAUCCCAGGGGAGGGGAUCUCUGAUGGGAGGGGGUGUUUCGGAAGGGGGAGAAUUCGCUAGGAGAAAUCGCCAAGAGACAGUCACCAGGAGAGGAUGGUUGGAACAGGAGGAGCCAGAGCAAGACUAAGACGGCAGGCAACACCACGGGGCUGGGAAAUCGCUGGGAACUGGGCUGGGCCAGCAUGGCCAAGUUAGAAUAGAUGAGAACCCUGCCCACCUAUAGUUCAAGAAGCCUUUUCAUAAACACACCAGGUCUCCACGUCAUUAUUUCAGAGCUAGGAUGGGAAUAGAAAAGCCAUGACUUUUACAGUUCGUGCCACGCCUUCUCUCGGUGAUGGACGGCGGCCUGUAAGCUGAGAUAAACUCAUUCCUCUUCUGCAUGCUUCUGACCAGAGUGUUUCAUCACAGUGACAGAAACUCCUGAGGACAAGGAGCUACACAGAUCCCUGACAAACAGGAAGAUAGGGAAAGAGGCCACAAACCGAUUGAAGAGGGCAAACUUCCAGAUUAUUCCUCACCAUUGUGACCUGAGACAAAGGCCUAGAGUAGAAGGCAUUUUCUCCCUCCAGCAGGCCCGCUUUCCUGCUGAGCAGUCCAGGCUGGUGGGGUAUGUACAAGGCUAGUCCUGAACAUGUUUACUCUUUUUUUUUUUUUCUUUUUUUCGGAGCUGGGGACCGAACCCAGGGCCUUGCGCUUUCUAGGCAAGCGCUCUACCACUGAGCUAAAUCCCCAACCCCAACAUGUUUACUCAAAGCUAUAAACAUACCAGUUCUCCUUUCUUUGUCAAAUUAGGGAAGGAGUUCUGCCUUAUCCCAUCAUAAACACUUAUCCGAAGCUGUGGGCCUUUCAAAUCUCUGUUUGUUUAAGUUGACCAACCCAAAACUAGGAAAAGGGAACCCAUCCUGGGCCACCAAAAACAGUACCUGGUGCUCUUUGAGGCCAGAAGACAGCACCGGAUGACCCAGAACUGGAGCUGCAUACUGUUAUGAGCUGCUAUGUAGGUGUUGGGAUCCUUUGGGAGAGCAGCAAAUGAUCUUAACUGUUGAGCCCUCCCUCCAGCCCUGACUUUGAAUUCUUUAAUUGGUGGAGAAAACAAACCAAUCAAGACAAUAAGUGACAAGUUGCUGGACUUUUCACUGUGAGAGCAGAACCAGUAGGCCUCCUGCCUGGACACUGUACUUGACCCGUUAAUCAGUACCCAUUUGAGAAGCAAAGUCUGAGCCAUGCUAGAAGGGAGCAUUUACCAUGUAUUAGGAAGCCAAUCUGAUGACAAACAUGGGUAAUUUUAGGUUUUCUAUUAUUAGUCAGUGAAAGCGUUUCCUCAAUGAUUUCAUCCCCAACUUGGCGUUCCACUCCAACAACAGUAAACAAUCUUCUGGCUGACUACCAGAAAGCUACACAAAUAUAAUUAUUUCGGGAACAAGAAAUGCAAAUAAAAGAUUUAACAAAUUGGUUUUCUGGACACAGACGUUUGUAGGAAGUGAAAGGUGUAACAGGAGGGAGUGGGGAGGGCCUGCUCACGGCAGCUUUCCUUUACACAGGCUUUACCACACCCACCAUCCACUCUCUUAGCCCACCAGCCAUAGCUUUCUCUUUGCUUUUAACUUUGUACAUUCUACAUGUAAAUUACAUAACCCAGGGAAAACAAGGGAAACUCAUGACCAUAGCUGUUAGGAAAGUUGGCCAUACAUAACAGGAAACCCAGUUAAGACAGGCUUACACCACACAUGGAGGAAUGGCAGCCCUCGGGUAGAAAGGUAUCAACACUGCCGGUAUAGACCAAGUUUCACCCCUCGCUCUAAAAACACGCUGGGCACAUGGGACCCCAUCCCAAGACAAACAACAAAUGCCAGGCCUCUGUAAGGAAGAAAGUUGCUCUUGUUCAAAGAAGUGAGAGGGAUUUGUAACAGGCACACUAUAAACAGAGAUGCUGUCUUCUUUAAUGGGUCUUGCUUUCCGUGUGUAUGGCUGCCUGGGUAACUUUUUUUCCUGGUUUGUGUCACCGUCUCAUGAAAUCCAAGUGGCCUCAAACUCACUAGCUGUGAUUUUCUAGAAUGCUGGAAUUAUAGGCAUGGGUCACCAUACCUUGUAGAGGUAUUUAAUCCAGCAACAUGGCAGCUGUUCUGAUCACACCCAAAGACCUUCUAGGUCUAUGUAAUCUGUCUGGAAUGCUUCCUUAGUACACACUUUUAGUAUAUGUGCUGCCGAAGCGAGCACUAGUACACACUUUUAAUCCAAAACAAUGAAGGUAAAGUUAGUUUGUAGAAGGAACCUCCUGUGUUUGAAGGUGAUGUCUAAUUAGACAAAGUGAUGAAUCAGAGAAAGACCUGACAGGUUAGGACAUACCCAACUCUCACAAGAACAGAGAGGAAAAAGGGGCAACAUAAGAGUGGGCAGGGCAGAGAGAGAAAGGAGGCAGUUUUACCUGGGGACUUUUACAGAGACAAGCUGAAGAGAGAACAAGCUAGAUACAGGUAAAGACAGAACAAGUCAGAGAACAAGAAGGAGCCAGAAGAUUAGACAGAUUGACAGUUAGUUUGAGGCCAAACAGAGCAAAAAGUUAGAGGCUUAGAGAGAAGCCAGUUUGAAUCAGUCAGCUUGGAGAAGAGUUUGAGCCAGCACAGCUGAGUUGAACCAGCCAGCCAGAGUUCAGAAAGAACAGCAGUAAGUCUCUGAGACUGAAAACAUUCUGGGCCUAGAUUAGAUUGUACAGAGGCUGGAAGCUUCCAGGACUAGGCCUAGGUUAGCAGAUGGAGGCAGUAAGCUUCCAAGGACAAUUAACAUCAGGUGAAUAAAAGUUAUUUUAAAAAUACCUGGUACCGAGAGAGAGAGAGAGAGAGAGAGAGAGAGAGAGAGAGAGAGAGAGAGACAGAGACAGAGACAGAGAGAGAGAAAGAGAGACUGACUCUCUCUCUCUCUCUCUCUCUCUCUCUCUCUCUCUCUCUCUCUGUGUGUGUGUGUGUGUGUGUGUGUGUGAGAGAGGGGGGGGAGGGAGAGAGAGAGAGAGAGAGGGAGUGUGUGGUUUUUCACUGGGACCUGGAGCCCACUGACUCAGCUAGACUGAUUGGCCAGUAAUGAUGUCAGAGUCUACCUGUCUGUCUCUCCAUCACUGUAUUACAAGAGAGCACACCACUCUUCCCUUUUAUAGGAGAGCUGGAGAUUUGACUCAGGUGCUCGGCUUACACAGUAAGUCCUUACUGAGCCAUAGCUCCAGGCCAUAAAAGAUUUGUUUUUGUUUUUGCUUUUUUAACAAAGAUCCAUUUGUCUCUGUUCUUGAUUUUUUUUUAAGAUUUAUUUAUUUUUAUACAUGUGAGUACAGUGUCACUCGCUGUCUUCAGACGCAGCAGAAGAGGACAUCGGAUCUCAUUACAGCCACCAUGUGGUUGCUGGGGAUUGAACUCAGGACCUCUGGAAGAGCAGUCAGUGCUCUUAACCCCUUGGAAGUUUUCUAAAGCAUGGAUUGUAGAGUCUGUGCCAGUUCUACCAGUUAAAAAUCUCUGGCCUCUGUCCCUCAGCAGCUGUAACACUUGGAAGAGUGGGCCCUGCACCUCACAUGAACAGCCCUGGUUGCUGGGGGUUGCUGGGAGACCACCCUGGGGCAUGAGAGCAGGCUGACUGACCAAGCAGCUCGAUACCCUCAGGUGCAGACCCAGACUUACUUUUGAACUGGCUCAUACCAACAUCUACCCUAGCAGUGAACUGCUGGGGUGCAUGAAGGGGCUGGUCCUACAGAUCCAAAACUGCAGGAUCUCCAUGGCACAGGACAACAACAAAAUGUUAGAGAGAAGUCCCAGCGAGGAUCCAGUAUAGAACCACAAUGGCAGAAGCCAGGGGCCUUGGACCAGACCAAGUCACUGCAAUGAACAUCUGUAAGCAAAAAAGUCUGUAUGCUGUGGGACACACUGUAACACACUACAGCUUCCACUGUAAAGAUUUUUUUUUUCUCAGUUGUGGGGUUGGUUACAAGGGUGAAGGAUAAGAUAGGUACAAGGGGAGGGGGAAAUGGCUGGGAUUGGGAUGCAUGAUGUGAAAUUCACAAAGAACUAAUUAAAAAGUGUUUGUUUUUUUUUUAAAAAUUCCUUGGCCUGAGUCCUAGGAAUUCAAGGUUUAGACCACAGUGGCAAUCAGAAGUUCAAAGCCAGACUAGAAUAAAUCUGGAGCUAUAUGAGACUCUAAGGUUCCUGUUAAAAACAAAACGAAACAGACGAUUUCGAAACGAAAACAAAUUCCCAGGGGACUCUGAGGCAGGUGGUCUAUCCGUGUGUUCUCUGACAACAUUAACUAUUUACCUAAAUGGCUGCUUGAGACUGAAUCAAUGUUACCAUGGUAGCAGCCAAUCUGAAACUAUUCUGGGCUGCCUGCUGCCCAGGCAGCAGCUGAGUCUGUGGGCUUCUUUGUUUGCUAGCUGAAGGGGACAUUUUGAACAGUAAUCUCCUGAGUAUUUAUGGCAAAAAAAAAAAAAAAAAAAAAAAAUACAGAACGGAUCCAAGGCAACUGACAAUGGCCGCAGGAAGCGGGAUCACAAAUCGCCUUCGCCCACCUUCAGAGCACCUGGCUCUCACCGACUCCUCACUUGUUUUUACUGUGCCAGGUGCAGUACCAAUCGAAUGCAGCCCCCCGUUUAUGCCCACUGCACUCCUGCAGUAACGAAUGUCCUCCUAGUAGGGCAGGAAUGCACCCCAGGGAGCAGGUGUGGGUGGCACUGGGGCGGAAGAAUCCCCACGUGUUCAAGGCUAGACUGAGCUGUUUAGUAGGCUCAAAGCCAGCCUACUCUAUACACUGAGAGCCUGUCUCAAGGAACAAAAGCAAAACAAACAAUACACACAACAAAAACAAACCAACCUCUGUUAUCCUCAGCAGGCAGGACCUAGAACCUGCCGAUGCCCUGGGCCGCCUGGGGCCACCCUCAAAGACCACAGGCCUCUGGGAAGAUGGACUUAGCUCAGUUUCUGCUCUACUGAGGCAGAAAAGAACCCCAGAGUGAGUCAAAGUGAACAAGGGUGGCAAAUUCAUCGCAAAGAAAGACAAGACAAGAAAGAGAGUCAAGUGGAGGCGUUAGGAGAAGCUGAUAGUUACUGCGUGCACAGUGGUCGCUAUUAAGGAACCUGGGGCUCAUCGGCUUGGCGAGACUGACUGGCCAGCGUACUCCAGGGAUCCACCGCCCCGCAGCACGGGGAUAACAGGCACACACCAUCACACCCGACUGUGCGGCUGCUGAGGUUGACCCUGGGUCUUCACGUCCCAACCCCCCCUCCCAGACCUCCUGUCUUCAUGUCCUGCCUUUUUAAAUAGCCCAUUGAGUCCAACUGGUGCUACCUAUAUACUCAUGAGCGUGGGGCCAUCCACCAGACAGUGCUCAGCCUGCCCAAGGCUACACACUAAAAGACCAUUAAAUCACCCUCCUCCCUGUACCCAUCCAUCACUUAGAGGUGGGAGCUGUUGAGCCCACCCACCCUUCAUGUCCUCAGUCAUUUUUAAUGAUCUCAUUGGUGAGGUUUCCCAAAUGUAAGAUAACAGUUCUUUGUGCAAGAGGUCUGCUCACUGUUGAAAACUCCUGGAUGUCAGCCAGUGAGAAACUGGAACCAGAACUGUGAGGGGGUGGGGGGUGGGGAGAGCCUCGGGGCACAUGUUACAUCUCACGUGCCUUCGUCCUGACUAUCUUGCUUGACUCAAGGUUAAAGGCAAGUCGAUCUGAGUGCUGGAGAGAUGGCUGGGUGCUUAGGAACGCUUACCGCUACUCCUGCAGAGGCCCGAGGUUUAGCUCCCGUCCAGGACUGUCAUGGCAACUUACAACUGCCUGUAACCUCCGACUCUCAUAGGCUUCCCACACAUGGUGCACAUGCAUGCACUCAGGCACAAACAUAUACACAGAGAAUAAACAUGUCCAAAAGUAAGUAAAUCUGGUUUCAAAUCAGUGGCCAGUAGUUGAGGUUUGUUUUUUUUUUUUUUUUAAGACUUAGUUUAUUUUCAAUUAUGUGUAUAUGUGUAUGUAGCUCAGAGAGGGUAUAAGCAGGUACCACAGGUAUCGGUUCCUCUAGAGCUAAGGUUACAGGCCUACAGGUUAAGGUUACAGAUGUUAGUCAUCUGACACGGGAGCUGGGAACCUUGGGUCCUCUGUAAAAGCAGCAUGCGUUCUAGGCCCAAUAAUUGUUUUUACUACUUUUACUUUCACCAGACCCAAAAUAUUUCUUUCCAGUUAGUUCUUGAGUUCAGACGUUAGCCAGCUAAAUGAAAUCCAUGCUAAGAGGACAGGCUAAGGGGGCUGGAGAGAUG